GUGAGGAAUAUUGCGCAAUGGGGGAAACCCUGACGCAGCGACGCCGCGUGGGUGAUGAAGGCCUUCGGGUCGUAAAACCCUUUUCGCAGGGACGAGUGAGGACGGUACCUGUGGAAUAAGUCUCGGCUAACUACGUGCCAGCAGCCGCGGUAAAACGUAGGAGGCAAGCGUUAUCCGGAUUCACUGGGCGUAAAGCGCGCGUAGGCGGUCGGGCAAGUCGGAUGUUAAAGCCCCUGGCUCAACUGGGGGAGGUCAUUCGAUACUGCUCGGCUUGAGGGUGAGAGAGGAAAGCGGAAUUCCCGGUGUAGCGGUGGAAUGCGUAGAGAUCGGGAGGAACACCAGCGGCGAAAGCGGCUUUCUGGCUCACUCCUGACGCUGAGAGCGCGACAGCGUGGGGAGCAAACGGGAUUAGAAACCCGAGUAGUCC
rnacentral:rRNA from 1 species